rnacentral:rRNA from 1 species
UGGGUCUAAUACCGGAUAUGACUCCUCAUCGCAUGGUGGGGGGUGGAAAGCUUUAUUGUGGUUUUGGAUGGACUCUCGGCCUAUCAGCUUGUUGGUGAGGUAAUGGCUCACCAAGGCGACGACGGGUAGCCGGCCUGAGAGGGUGACCGGCCACACUGGGACUGAGACACGGCCCAGACUCCUACGGGAGGCAGCAGUGGGGAAUAUUGCACAAUGGGCGAAAGCCUGAUGCAGCGACGCCGCGUGAGGGAUGACGGCCUUCGGGUUGUAAACCUCUUUCAGUAGGGAAGAAGCGAAAGUGACGGUACCUGCAGAAGAAGCGCCGGCUAACUACGUGCCAGCAGCCGCGGUAAUACGUAGGGCGCAAGCGUUAUCCGGAAUUAUUGGGCGUAAAGAGCUCGUAGGCGGUUUGUCGCGUCUGCCGUGAAAGUCCGGGGCUCAACUCCGGAUCUGCGGUGGGUACGGGCAGACUAGAGUGAUGUAGGGGAGACUGGAAUUCCUGGUGUAGCGGUGAAAUGCGCAGAUAUCAGGAGGAACACCGAUGGCGAAGGCAGGUCUCUGGGCAUUAACUGACGCUGAGGAGCGAAAGCAUGGGGAGCGAACAGGAUUAGAUACCCUGGUAGUCCAUGCCGUAAACGUUGGGCACUAGGUGUGGGGGACAUUCCACGUUUUCCGCGCCGUA